ensembl:lncRNA
UCUGUCUGUCUGUCUGUCUCUCUCUCUCUCCCUCUCUCUCUCUCUCCCUCCCUCCUCCCCCUCUCUCUCUCUCUCAAACUCCCUCCCUCUCUCUGUUUGUCUGUCUCUCUCUCGCUCUCGGCUGUCUCUGUCGAUGGAGGCAACCGGAUAAGGACAGCAUGCAGGCUCAUCCCUGAGAAGAGACACGGAGCUGAGAACGCUGGUCUGGUGGCCGACCUGAGUACUGCUGGACCCCCUGACCCCCACGGCUUGACCCCCUGGACCCCCACCUCUGGACCCCCACCCCUGGACCCCCACCUCUGGACCCCCACCUCUGGACCCCAAGGACAGCCCUCUGGCACCAUGGGGAACUGUCUUUCAGAGAUGAAACUGCCAAAAGGAGGCCUUCUGAAGAACCUCCCGGAAGCUGACGCUGGGAAGGUAGGUGUGUGUGUGUGAGUGCGUGUGUUUGUGUGUAUGUGUGUAUGUGUGAGCAACUGCACAUGUGUGAGUGUGUGUUUGUGUGCGAGUGCCUGCGAGCAAGUGCACACGUGUGUGUGCGUGUGCGUGAGAGCAGUGCGGUGUGUGCAGGGGGCCUGUAUGUGACGCGGCCUCGCGGCGCAGUCACCGGAGAUAACCCUGAUGGGGGAAGCUGGUCGCAUCGCUCACGACUCGGGGGUCUUUAUCUGGCAGGAAGAGGAGCGCGGGCCGCCUGCCGACGGCCUGUACGCCGCCGUGGACUUCAGCAAGAAGAGGUCCUCCCGGGCCCCGGCCCCGUGACUCCUCCCCCCCCCCCUGACUCCUCCCCCCGCCCCUCAGAGUGUGUCUACUCCGUCAUUAUCCCGCACAGACCUCCAGCCCCGCCCACCUCGGAGGCUGAGGAAGGGGCCGAUGAUUAUGUCCUCAUGCAGUAGGACCACGAGGUCGACCAACGGCAGUACCGAGCUGGAGCGGACCGGAUGCUCACUGCUGCCGUCGCGGUGAGCCCUGACGGAGGCUCGGGACGUCAUUCUGUGGUUCUACGUUCAUCGCUGCGGAGGAAACGUCACCGCCACCGUAGAAAUGAAGACCUCUCUGUUAGCGGGCUCAUGGAUACCAACAGUCCUGAACACGGCCUCAUACAGUCGUAGUGUAUAUACCAUCCUCAUACUCACACUGUAUACCAUCCUCAUACUCACACUGUAUACCAUCCUCAUACUCACACUGUAUACCAUCCUCAUACUCACACUGUAUACCAUACUCAUACUCACACUGUAUACCAUACUCACACUGUAUACCAUACUCACACUGCAUACCAUACCAUACUCACAC